rnacentral:rRNA from 1 species
UGCCAGCAGCCGCGGUAAUACGUAGGGGGCAAGCGUUAUCCGGAAUCACUGGGCGUAAAGGGAGUGUAGGCGGUCAAGCAAGUCAGAGGUGAAAGGCAUCGGCUCAACCGGUGUAAGCCUUUGAAACUGUUUGACUUGAGUGCAGGAGAGGUAAGUGGAAUUCCUAGUGUAGCGGUGAAAUGCGUAGAUAUUAGGAGGAACACCAGUGGCGAAGGCGACUUACUGGACUGUAACUGACGCUGAGGCUCGAAAGCGUGGGGAGCGAACAGGAUUAGAAACCCCCGUAGUCC